rnacentral:lncRNA from 1 species
UGGGGGAGGUGGUGGAGGUGGGGUUAAGAUCAUUGGAGGGGGUUCUAGCGGGGGUGGUAGCUGUGGUGGUGGUGGCGGAGGAGGCUCCGGUGGAGUUAAGGUUAUAUCAUGUGGAAGCAGUGGAGGUGGUGGCGGCGGCGGCGGAGGUGGUGGUGUUAAAGUUAUAGGUGGAGGCUCCAGUGGGGGUGGUUCCAUUUGUGGAGGUGGAGGUGGUGGAGGAUCAAGUGGGAAAACCAUUAUCAUCAGUGGGGGAGGCAGUGGCGGCCAGCAGAGCUCCAGCUGCUGCAGUGGUGGAGGCAGCAGCGGUGGUGGCGGAGGAGGCCAGACCGUCGUCAUCCCUUGUGGUGGAAGCAGUGGUGGUGGUGGUGGUGGCGGCCAGCAAAGCUCUAGCUGCUGCAGUGGUGGAGGCAGCAGCGGUGGCGGCGGAGGAGGCCAGACCAUCAUUGUCCCUUGUGGUGGAAGCAGUGGUGGUGGCGGCGGCGGUGGCGGCCAGCAGAGCUCCAGCUGCUGCAGUGGUGGAGGCAGCAGCGGUGGUGGCGGAGGAGGCCAGACCAUCAUUGUCCCUUGUGGUGGAAGCAGUGGUGGUGGUGGCGGCGGCGGCCAGCAGAGCUCCAGCUGCUGCAGUGGUGGAGGGUCUGGCGGGGGCUCCAUGCAGAUGAAACAACCCUGCUGUCUCCCGCCUUCUAUGGGUCAAACAAAACAGGUUUGCCAGUGGCCACCCAGCCAGAAGUGAAAACCGAGGGGGGUCAGACUCCCAGGGGGUCAUUUCAUUCUACCUUAUGCGCUCACGUGGGGAAGGAAAAUAGGAGACCCGCGUGCUGGUUUGUUCCUGUGAUAUCAACCGUUGCACCUCUGCAUGUCGCAUGGCUUGUUCCCUAGAUUGCAACCACCCUCCUUGUCUUCCCUGUGUUUUGUUGGUUUGUUCUGCUAAUGCAUGAUCCAUGUGAUGUUCUCCUCCCAAAACUGUGAUUAUUUAUUCCUUUCUGGUGGAAGGGUAUGGAUAAGAUUCCCCCACCAGUUUCCUGCUUCUGUCUAAUGCAUGGGAG